rnacentral:tRNA from 1 species
GGGCCAUUAGCUCAAUUGGCAGAGCAGCGGACUUUUAAUCCGCGGGUUCAGGGUUCGAUCCCCUGGUGGCCCACCC